GUAUGCUCACUAUCAUCAAAGGUAACUCAUUCCUGAAAUCAUACUUAUUCAUAACGCUAUGAACCGAAGCAAAUACCCAGCAACUUAAUGUAUUUGGUCAUUCCAAGUACUCUUAUAAAAAUCUAAUAAUAGAAUGUCUACAUCCAUGAGUUACUAUGUAUAUGCACUGAAAUCAACAAGAUGUUCUGAGGCUAUGUUUAUUUAAGAGUAGGCAAACAUAACAUUUGGAGCAAUGACUUGGUUUUAGCCUUUUAGGUGGUGGUGCCAAAAGAAAGCCAAACACAACCACUAAGUACUCCUUUUUCUUUCUUUGUUUUGUCUUGAACUAGUUUUCAGACAAUUUGGUAUUUGAUUUCAUUUUGUUUGUGGAAAAGCUAACAGUUAAUGACUUGAGUAAACCCUAAAUCAAUCUUGGCAGCAAUCAUCUUUUUUUAUAAACAAAAGGAAUUACUACACCCAAA
rnacentral:misc_RNA from 1 species